rnacentral:rRNA from 1 species
GCGAAGUGGUUGAUGCCAUGCUUCCAGGAAAAGUCUCUAAGCUUCAGUUACACAGGAAUCGUACCCGAAACCGACACAGGUGGUCAGGUCGAGUAGACCAAGGCGCUUGAGAGAACUCUGCUGAAGGAACUAGGCAAAAUGGUACCGUAACUUCGGGAGAAGGUACGCUGUUGUUGGUGAUGGAACUCGCUUCCUGAGCUGACGACAGCCGCAGAAACCAGGCCGCUGCAACUGUUUAUUAAAAACAUAGCACUCUGCAAACACGAAAGUGGACGUAUAGGGUGUGAUGCCUGCCCGGUGCUGGAAGGUUAAUUGAUGGGGUUAGCGUAAGCGAAGCUCUUGAUCGAAGCCCCAGUAAACGGCGGCCGUAACUAUAACGGUCCUAAGGUAGCGAAAUUCCUUGUCGGGUAAGUUCCGACCUGCACGAAUGGCAUAAUGAUGGCGGCGCUGUCUCCAGCAGAGGCUCAGUGAAAUCGAAAUCGCUGUGAAGAUGCAGUGUACCCGCGGCUAGACGGAAAGACCCCGUGAACCUUUACUGCAGCUUGACACUGAACUUUGACCUUACUUGUGUAGGAUAGGUGGGAGGCUUUGAAGCUGGAACGCUAGUUCCAGUGGAGCCGUCCUUGAAAUACCACCCUGGUAAUGUUGAGGUUCUAACUCUGUCCCGUGAUCCGGGACGAGGACCGUGUCUGGUGGGUAGUUUGACUGGGGCGGUCUCCUCCUAAAGAGUAACGGAGGAGUACGAAGGUGCGCUCAGCGUGGUCGGAAAUCACGCGUAGAGUAUAAAGGCAAAAGCGCGCUUAACUGCGAGACCCACAAGUCGAGCAGGUACGAAAGUAGGUCUUAGUGAUCCGGUGGUUCUGUAUGGAAGGGCCAUCGCUCAACGGAUAAAAGGUACUCUGGGGAUAACAGGCUGAUACCGCCCAAGAGUUCAUAUCGACGGCGGUGUUUGGCACCUCGAUGUCGGCUCAUCUCAUCCUGGGGCUGAAGCAGGUCCCAAGGGUAUGGCUGUUCGCCAUUUAAAGAGGUACGCGAGCUGGGUUUAGAACGUCGUGAGACAGUUCGGUCCCUAUCUACCGUGGGCGCUGGAAAUUUGAGAGGAUCUGCUCCUAGUACGAGAGGACCAGAGUGGACGAACCUCUGGUGUACCGGUUGUGACGCCAGUCGCAUCGCCGGGUAGCUAUGUUCGGAAGGGAUAACCGCUGAAAGCAUCUAAGCGGGAAGCCUACCUCAAGAUAAGAUUUCCCUAGGACUUUAUGUCCUCUAAAGAGCCGUUCGAGACUAGGACGUUGAUAGGUUGGAUGUGGAAGCAUAGUGAUAUGUGAAGCUGACCAAUACUAAUUGCUCGUGAGGCUUGACUAU